UCAUCACUCAUUCACCAAACCCUAAUAUGCCGUUCAAUCUCUCUCCGAUUCUCCCCUGCCUUCGAUGCACAACUGCAAACCCUAGAGGUUAUCCACAACUGUGAUCAACAUAAAUCAACAUAAUUGUCCAGUUCACCAAAUAGUCGUUGCCAUCUACAUUGAAAUCGACGCACACAUCAGAAACCCUAAAAGCUCCCACGUUCUUCUUCAAUCGCCUGAUAAAGGAUUCCAAAAUCAAACCGAUUCACUUCCAGGUAUGUCAACCAAGAGGAAGAUGGUGACGGUGGUGGUCACCUGAAGAGGGAAGAUGACAAUGACAUGGGUUGAUUUCUCCAUUGGUGGUCUUGUGAUGGUUGUGGUUCUAGGAAAUGGCGAAAGGGCGGCGGCUAGGGUUCCACCAACACAUAAAUCUGACCGAUUUUGGUUUCGGCAGGCACUGGCCGUUUUACUUUCUUACAGGUGAAAAGCAACAGGAAAUGAAUGUGGGUCAUGUUACCUUGGAACAAGCUAGCAUUAUUGAUAGGCAUUAUUGUGAUGGAUGGGAGAACCGGUGGGUUAAAUCUGACUGGAAGCAAGAUGAGAACAUGGCUGGGAAGUGGAAUUAUUAAUUAUACAUCUGGCAAAUGGAAUACGAAUGCAAAAUAUACUACAAAAAUGAUUUUUUAAGGUGUUUGUUUAUAUGUGGUCAGUUUUGAUUAUUUUUUUUUAUCUAUUUGUUUAUUUUUGCAGUCAUUUUUAGUGAUGCUAAGGCAUAAGAAGCGUGUUGGGUAAACAGGAAAUGACACUAAAACUCAAAGAUGAAGACACGAGCCAAUGAGAUUACACGACUAAGGAAUAUGACAACCAAAACUUUGUAGAUCUGAGUUUUUAGAGGAAUAUUAACAGCCCAGAUCUGAUCUGGUAUGUUUGUGCAUCAUUCAUUGACCCAUUGUUUGUUAGCCUAGUUUCCGUUGAUACCAAAGCUGGUGAUGGUUGGUGUUCGUGUAAACUCAAUUUGAAUAUGUGUUGGGUUGAGCGACAGACAUGGAGGACGUAGAAAAGCUAGAAAAUUUCUUGGAGUGGGCAAAACGCUAACAACGUCGACGAAGCUGAACGGAAAAACCCUAAUAAGGUUUUGACUUUGGUGAAAAAGGUAUAAUAUAAUUCUACAGAGGCGAUGAUUAGUAGUGUUUUGGAGUUGUGGUUUCUAAGAAAGAGAAUAGAAAGGUGAGAGGGCAAUCAGUAGACAUAUUUGGUUUCAGAUAGACCAGUAGAGCAGAGCAUUUGAUAAAUGGUAUAGUUGGGUGAAUGGAUUUAGGGGAGUGGGCCCUCAACUGCAGGUAGAAGUGUCCAUACAUAUGGGUAUUGUAAUCUCGAAACAAAUGCUGGUUAUGUAAGGUUAACUAAAUUAUACAGCAGGAAUUACAAGAAUGCUAAACGGGCAGCGGUGCUGGGUCGAUUAAGGCACACGUGGUAGGUUCUGGUGACCCUAGGCAUUUUUCGGCGAAGGGUGUGAUCAGCAAGUUCAAAGUAACUAUGGUGAUGGUUUUGGUAUCAAGGUAACAUCUCGGUCAAAAUAGUAAUGGGCCCUUCAGAUGCUAUGGCUCUAUCAUCUGUUGACGUUUAUCGUAAAAAACAUGACGUCACAGCAACGGGUGAUAAUGUUCCAGCUCCAUUCAUGUCAUUUGAGUCCACUGGCUUUCCUCCAGAGUUAUUGAGAGAGGAUUAAUACGUUUGACCCAACUAUCGUGCAAUAUCUGUUCCAGAAAAGUAGCACAUGUCGUACGCUGCCACCACUUUAUUCUGAGUUAGGCUGCAAAUUCUGAUGUUGGCUCUGCCUCAUUUGUCAUAAUUGCACCUUUUCUUGCUUCGAGUUGCUUCAAUAUGUGCUGCUGGUUUUGCUUCGCCUACACCUAUUCAAGCACAAACAUGGCCUAUUUCUCUACAAAACAGGGACACAGUGGCAAUUGCAAAGACAGGUUCUGGUAAAACGUUAGGCUAUCUGAUUCCUGCGUUCAUGCUGCUUAGACAUUGUAACAACAAUCCCCAAAAUGGGCCCACGGUCGUUUUAGCUCCCACUAGAGAACUUGCUACUCAAAUACAAGAUGAGGUCAUCAAGUUUGGCCAAUCCAUCAGAAUCUCUUGCACAGUUGGAGGCAGUCUUGGUUGGGGCGCUAUAUAUGCCACUACAAAGUUGCUGAAGUAGUCAAUGACGGUUGUACAAACUUAUUUAGUUAGUUUGUCAAAUAUGACUAAACUUUAAUAGAGUUGAAUAGAAUAGAGUUGGUGGACUUUUUCGAAUGGUUGAGAAGAUGAAAGAAUGAGUAUUAUGACAUCAAAAGAUGAUCGAUAAGAAGAAAGAACGAUUGAUGCUUUUUGUUCAGGGUGCAUAAGGCUAGAACUAAAUUCACAGCAGCUUUACGUUUUUUCAUUCUCUGAUUGAAUAAAAGUUAUGGUUUAGUAUAAUUAUAUUUAUUGUAGUUAGAAGAUAUGAUUUGAAUAGUUUUUAUUUGUAUUUAUCUAAUA